rnacentral:sRNA from 1 species
GACGAACCCACACAACUCUGUCAUGAUCUGUGUUCCGCUCUGCCGAUCCCAAUCCU